CAGGACGCAUCGGCAGUUAACUGCUGAUGGAAACGAUGAUAGUUAACUGCCGAAGUUUUCCUCGGUAGUUAACUGCCGCUGGUUCUU
rnacentral:pre_miRNA from 1 species